rnacentral:snRNA from 1 species
GUGCCCAGUUUGGCAGCACCUAUCCUAAAAUUAGGGAAGAUUAGCAGGGCCCCUGCGCAAGGAUGACACGCAAAUUCGUGGAGUGUUCCAUAAAAAA